UGCAGUCGAACGGUAACGACGGGAGCUUGCUCCCGGGCGACGAGUGGCGGACGGGUGAGUAAUACUUAGGAAUCUGCCCAGUAGUGGGGGACAACUCGAGGAAACUCGAGCUAAUACCGCAUACGCCCUACGGGGGAAAGCGGAGGAUCUUUCGGGACUUCGCGCUAUUGGAUGAGCCUAAGUCGGAUUAGCUUGUUGGUGGGGUAAAGGCCUACCAAGGCAACGAUCUGUAGCUGGUCUGAGAGGACGAUCAGCCACACUGGGACUGAGACACGGCCCAGACUCCUACGGGAGGCAGCAGUGGGGAAUAUUGGACAAUGGGGGCAACCCUGAUCCAGCAAUGCCGCGUGUGUGAAGAAGGCCUGCGGGUUGUAAAGCACUUUCAGUAGAGAAGAAAUGCCCAUGGUUAAUACCCGUGGGUCUUGACGUAACCUACAGAAGAAGCACCGGCUAACUCCGUGCCAGCAGCCGCGGUAAUACGGAGGGUGCGAGCGUUAAUCGGAAUUACUGGGCGUAAAGCGCGCGUAGGCGGUUUGGUCAGUCGGAUGUGAAAGCCCUAGGCUCAACCUGGGAAUGGCAUUCGAUACUGCCUGACUAGAGUAUGGUAGAGGGAAGUGGA
rnacentral:rRNA from 1 species